rnacentral:rRNA from 1 species
GAUGAACGCUGGCGGCGUGCCUAAUACAUGCAAGUCGAGCGAACGGACGAGGAGCUUGCUCCUUUGACGUUAGCGGCGGACGGGUGAGUAACACGUGGAUAACCUACCUAUAUGACUGGGAUAACUUCGGGAAACCGGAGCUAAUACCGGAUAAUAUAUUGAACCGCAUGGUUCAAUAGUGAAAGACGGUUUUGCUGUCACUUAUAGAUGGAUCCGCGCCGCAUUAGCUAGUUGGUAAGGUAACGGCUUACCAAGGCAACGAUGCGUAGCCGACCUGAGAGGGUGAUCGGCCACACUGGAACUGAGACACGGUCCAGACUCCUACGGGAGGCAGCAGUAGGGAAUCUUCCGCAAUGGGCGAAAGCCUGACGGAGCAACGCCGCGUGAGUGAUGAAGGUCUUCGGAUCGUAAAACUCUGUUAUUAGGGAAGAACAAAUGUGUAAGUAACUAUGCACGUCUUGACGGUACCUAAUCAGAAAGCCACGGCUAACUACGUG